rnacentral:rRNA from 1 species
CUGCUAGGCGGGAUUUGUUUGCGUCUACUGUGAAAUCAGAAGGCUCGAGCUCACGGCCUGCAGUGGGUACGGGCAGAGUAGAGUGCGAGUAGGGGAGAUGGGAAUUCAUGGUGUAGGCGGAGGAAUGAGCAGAUAUCAGGUGGAGCACCGAUGGCGAAGGCAGAUCUGUGGGCCGUAACUGGCGCUGAGGAGAGAAAGGGAGGCGAGCAAACAAGACUAGAUACCAUGGUAGUCCACUCCGUAAACGUUGGGAACUAGUCGUGGGGUCCAUUCCACGGAUUCCGUGACGCAGCUAACGCAUUAAGUUGUCCGCCUGGGGGGUACGGCCGCAAGGCUAAAAAUCAAAGGAAUUGACGGGGACCCGCACAAGCGGCGGAGCAUGCGGAUUAAUUUGAUGCAACGCGAAGAACCUUACCAAGGCUUGACAUAUACGAGAACGGGCCAGAAAAUGUCAACUUGCUGUACACUAGUAAACAGCAGGUGCAUGGUUGUCGUCAGCUCGUGUCGUGAGAUGUUGGGUUAAGUCCUGCAACGAGCGCAACCCUCGUUCUAUGUUGCCAGCACGUAAUGGUGGGAACUCAUGGGAUACUGCCGGGGUCAACUCGGAGGAAGGUGGGGAUGACGUCAAAUCAUCAUCCCCCUUAUGUCUUGGGGUUCACGCAUGGUACAACGGCCGGUACAAAGGGCUGCAAUACCGCGAGGAGGAGCGAAUCCCAAAAAACCGGUCCCAGUUCGGAUUGAGGUAGGCAACUCGACCUCAUGAAGUAGGAGUCGCUAGUAAUAGCAGAUCAGCAACGCUGCGGUGAAUACGUUCCCGGGUGCUGUACACACCGCCCGUCAAGUCACGAAAGUCGGUAACACAAGAAGCCGGUGGCGUAACCCUUGUGGAGGGAGCCGUCGAAGGUGGGAUCGGUAAUAGGAGGAGUCGUACAUUACCCGCCCCCGG